rnacentral:rRNA from 1 species
GACGAACGCUGGCGGCGUGCUUAACACAUGCAAGUCGAGCGGAAAGGCCACUUCGGUGGUACUCGAGCGGCGAACGGGUGAGUAACACGUGAGUAAUCUGCCCCUGGCUUUGGGAUAGCCACCGGAAACGGUGAUUAAUACCGGAUAUGACCACUUCACGCACGUGAAUGGUGGUGGAAAGUUUUUCGGCCAGGGAUGUGCUCGCGGCCUAUCAGCUUGAUGGUGAGGUAAUGGCUCACCAUGGCUU